UACACUGUGACAGACUACUCCUAGAAAUUUUAUGACAUCAAUGUCUUUUUUGUGGUCAGUCUAAUCUAAAGACCUGUGUGAUGUUUAGUUGUGAAGAUCUUGAGUUUUUGUUAAAAGGUGUGUCCAUGGCGCCGUGAUGAAGUUCGAUGUCUCGCCAUGGGAAUAAAAGAUGUUAUAACUCAGGCAUAAAAUGUCCGAUCUUGCCCAAACUUCACUUGUGUGAUAAGGGUCCUGGCCUGAACAGAUCUGAAGGCCAAUAUUCCAUCGAGUGUGGCAAAAUGGCUCAAUAGCGCCACCUAUACACUUUCAACGGAGUGCGUAUACACUUUAAACGGAGUGCGCCUUGAGCUAUGUUUCACGUACAUGUACAAAAAUCGGUACACACAUGUAACACACCGAUAUCUAUGAAAAAGUCUCUUGGUACGAAGUCCGAAUCCCAACAGGAAGUCAGUUAUUUCGAAUUUUCUCUGCAAAAUUAGUGUUGUUUUGGCCAUUUUCAGGGGUUGUACUUUAAAGAACUCCUCCUAGAUAUUUAUUCAGAUCAACACCAAACUUGGUCAGUGUAAUCUAAAGCCUUUUGCGAUCUUAAAUUGCGAAGAUCUUGAGGUUUCGUUAAAGGGCGUGUCCAUGGCGGCCUGACAAAUUUCAUUGUUUCGCCAUGAAAUAGGAUGUUGUUGUAACUCAGGCAUAAAGUGUCCAAUCCUCCCCAAACCUCACAUGUUCGAUAAAAGUCCUGCCCUGAACACAUCUGAAGGCCAAUAUUCCAUUAUAAUGAUAGCGCCACCUGCUGGCAACAGGAAGAUUGGCACAUAUAUGGAAUAAACAUUGAUAUAUUCUACUUAUAUUUAUGAGUUUAAACGCAUAUUUCUCACCGUUCACCUAUUAACUAAAGCCACUCGCUGCCGGUGAGCCCGGGUGCGAGGGCCCGUUCAUCGCUGCUUGCAGCUUUAA